CAAUAGCGUAUAUUAAAGUUGUUGCGGUUAAAAAGCUCGUAGUUGGAUUUCUGCUGAGAACGACCGGUCCGCCCUUUGGGUGUGUAUCUGGCUCUUUCUUGGCAUCUUCUUGGUGAACGUUGCUGCACUUGACUGUGUGGAGCGCUACCCAGGACUUUUACUUUGAGGAAAUUAGAGUGUUUCAAGCAGGCAUACGCCUUGAAUACAUUAGCAUGGAAUAAUAAGAUAGGACCUCGGUUCUAUUUUGUUGGUUUCUAGAGCUGAGGUAAUGAUUAAUAGGGAUAGUUGGGGGCAUUCGUAUUUAACUGUCAGAGGUGAAGUUCUUGGAUUUGUUAAAGACGGACUACUGCGAAANCANNNGCCAAGGAUGUUUUCAUNGA
rnacentral:rRNA from 1 species